UACGAAGGGGACUAGCGUUGUCCGGAAUCAUUGGGCGUAAAGGGUGCGUAGGUGGCCCGGUCAGUCUUUGGUGAAAGCGCGGGGCUCAACCCUGCGUCGGCCAGGGAUACUGCCGCGGCUCGAGCACUGUAGAGGCAGGCGGAAUUCCGGGUGUAGCGGUGAAAUGCGUAGAGAUGCGGAGGAACACCGAUGGCGAAGGCAGCCCCCUGGGCUGACACUGACGCUCAGGCACGAAAGCGUGGGGAGCAAACAGG
rnacentral:rRNA from 1 species